rnacentral:rRNA from 1 species
UACAGAGGGUGCUAGCGUUGUUCGGAAUCAUUGGGCGUAAAGGGCGUGUAGGCGGUUUGUUAAGUCAUGUGUGAAAUCCCUCGGCUCAACCGGGGAACGACGCAUGAAACUGGCAAGCUAGAGUACCAAAGAGGGGGGUGGAAUUCCCGGUGUAGCGGUGAAAUGCGUAGAUAUCGGAAGGAACACCAGUGGCGAAAGCGGCUUCCUGGUCCAGCACCGACGUUCGGGCACGAAAGCGUGGGGAGCAAACAGG